GGGUCAGUAGGUUGGUCGUGCCACCGGUACGUACUGGUCUCACUGAUUCCUCCUUCCUGAAGAACCGUAAUGCCAUUAAUUUGGUGCUGCGGGGAAACAGGACUGUUACUUUGAAAAAAUUAGAGUGUUUAAAGCAAGCUAACGCUUGAAUACAUUAGCAUGGAAUAAUGAAAUAGGACGAUCGAUCCUAUUUUGUUGGCUUCUAGGAUUGACGUA
rnacentral:rRNA from 1 species